AUUCUGCCCAAGCGGGGAAGGAUGAGAAGCUUCGACCAAGGUUCGACUUGAGCGCCAGCGAGAGAGCGUUGCCGCAGGCAACGACCCGUAGGGCGAAGCGCGCAGCGCUGAGUAAUCCUUCCCCUACCACCA
rnacentral:sRNA from 1 species